rnacentral:rRNA from 1 species
CUACAGGCUUAACACAUGCAAGUCGAGGGGAAACGACAUCGAAAGCUUGCUUUUGAUGGGCGUCGACCGGCGCACGGGUGAGUAACGCGUAUCCAACCUGCCCACCACUUGGGGAUAACCUUGCGAAAGUAAGACUAAUACCCAAUGACGUCUCUAGAAGACAUCUGAAAGAGAUUAAAGAUUUAUCGGUGAUGGAUGGGGAUGCGUCUGAUUAGCUUGUUGGCGGGGUAACGGCCCACCAAGGCAACGAUCAGUAGGGGUUCUGAGAGGAAGGUCCCCCACAUUGGAACUGAGACACGGUCCAAACUCCUACGGGAGGCAGCAGUGAGGAAUAUUGGUCAAUGGACGAGAGUCUGAACCAGCCAAGUAGCGUGCAGGAUGACGGCCCUAUGGGUUGUAAACUGCUUUUAUAAGGGAAUAAAGUGAGUCUCGUGAGGCUUUUUGCAUGUACCUUAUGAAUAAGGACCGGCUAAUUCCGUGCCAGCAGCCGCGGUAAUACGGAAGGUCCGGGCGUUAUCCGGAUUUAUUGGGUUUAAAGGGAGCGUAGGCCGGAGAUUAAGCGUGUUGUGAAAUGUAGACGCUCAACGUCUGCACUGCAGCGCGAACUGGUUUCCUUGAGUACGCACAAAGUGGGCGGAAUUCGUGGUGUAGCGGUGAAAUGCUUAGAUAUCACGAAGAACUCCGAUUGCGAAGGCAGCUCACUGGAGCGCAACUGACGCUGAAGCUCGAAAGUGCGGGUAUCGAACAGGAUUAGAUACCCUGGUAGUCCGCACGGUAAACGAUGGAUGCCCGCUGUUGGUCUGAAUAGGUCAGCGGCCAAGCGAAAGCAUUAAGCAUCCCACCUGGGGAGUACGCCGGCAACGGUGAAACUCAAAUGAA